CGAGAAUGAAAUUCUGAUGCUUCUUUUAGGAAGACUAGACUGGGAUGACUAUUGACCACAUCCUAAGAAAGAAGCAGAAAGGAGAUCUGCUCAAAAUGUAAGCAUAAGAAUUAAUGAACUCUCUUAACUAGAGGUGGCUAAACUGUGAUCCCUCGGAUACUGCUGGACUACAAUACACAUCAUUCCUGACCACUGGCAAUACUGGCUAGGACUGAUAGUCCUACAACACCUGGAGGGCCCCAGGUGAGCCACACAUGCUCCAAUCAUCUCCUACAUACCCAACCAAUCACCACACUCUGCACAAGGACCUCUUGCAAAUAGCAUCCUAUCAGGAAGUCUAUUCCACACAAUGUUAAAAUCGAGCCUUUCCUGUGGUGGUCCUUAUCCUCUGCAUAUCAGAGAAGGGCAUCCUCUAUUGGCUUUUUGGUGCCUGCUAAAUAUAUUUCUCUUUCCACAAGCCUUUUAAAAUAUUUUCCUAGAUGGUCCCUGCCCUGGAUCUGGAUAGAUUUUAUAUAUGCGCUGUUGUUUCAAUCUGAUAUAUCUAUUGUAGUGCUUUAUUUCUGGAAGGACAUAGUGGUAUGCAUACCCCUAAACAUUUUGUGAAUCUUUGUACUUUUGUCCAUUUACUGUAUUUAUUUUCCUGGAUUUGAACUAUAAAAUGGUGAUUUUCUUGAGUCAAAAUGAGAGUACCCCUAAACAUUUUUAAAGGAAAAAAGCACUGGGCAAUUGUUUUUACAUGCAUAACUGUUUUAAAUAUGUCAUUCUAUUGCAAUGCCUGAAAUAAUUAUUAAUAAUAAUAAUCCUAAAUUUCUUAAAUUGCCAUAUAUGCACCCAUCAAAUGUUAGGAAUCUAGCAGGCUUAAAAGAGUUACUGUUCAAACCCAGCAAUGCCUUUAUUUAUGAACUUUUUCAAGCAUCUUAUUUUUCCUUCUCUUUUUUAAAAACUUCACUUUGAAAUGGCAUGGUUGUUUUACACCAAAUCCAAGUAUACAUUUUUGGGAUGGGGGAAGAGGACAAUAAAUAUUUUAAAACUCUU